rnacentral:rRNA from 1 species
GACGAACGCUGGCGGCGUGCUUAACACAUGCAAGUCGAGCGACGCUCUUCCUUCGGGGAGAUGACGGAGCGGCGAACGGGUGAGUAACACGUGGGCAACCUGCCCCUAGCUCUGGGACAACACCGGGAAACCGGUGCUAAUACCGGAUACGACAUCGAGCGGCAUCUCUCGAUGUGGAAAGUUUUUUCGGCUAGGGAUGGGCCCGCGGCCUAUCAGCUUGUUGGUGGGGUAAUGGCCCACCAAGGCGACGACGGGUAGCCGGCCUGAGAGGGCGACCGGCCACACUGGGACUGAGACACGGCCCAGACUCCUACGGGAGGCAGCAGUGGGGAAUAUUGCGCAAUGGGCGAAAGCCUGACGCAGCGACGCCGCGUGAGGGAUGACGGCCUUCGGGUUGUAAACCUCUUUCAGCAGGGACGAGUUCAGACGGUACCUGCAGAAGAAGCACCGGCCAACUACGUG